AUGCUUACAUGGAAUUGGAAUUAAAGCUUGAAGACCCAUGAUGGCAGUAAUUAAGCAAAAAGCAGCAUUUUGACUCCUGCUCUCAUGCAGAACACCUGAUAGAAUAAAACUUGAAUCCUAUUUGGGUUAAAUUUCAUAGUCGGAUGAGAUACCGUGCAUAGCUGGUUACUUGGUUAGCUGUGAUCUUUGAAACUUUGGAGGUUCUUGGAUUUCUUACUGCUACCAACUCCUGAAAUUCAACUGGCUCUUUUAAUACUGUGUCUUUGUUGCUGCAACUAUUAUAUUCUUUUCUCUGUGCCUUAGCAAAGAGGAUGGUUCUUCAAUAAAAUCUGUAAAUUCUUUGUUUAGUUAUGGUAUAAGCCUUCCAGAAAACAUUGUUUUAAGAUCAGAGCUUGCUGGAACUGGGUCUCCUGAUGCUGUCUACUCAUUAACAGAAUUUCGAGUGAGAUCAAAAGUUGGAGGAAUUGCCCAGAACAUAGCGUCUUUGAGUUCUUUGCUUUGCCAGACCAUCAGCCAAACUGUUUGCAAACCUCCUAAUCCAUCUUAUUUGGAUCAUCAUAUCUUUACAUAUCUGCUUGAAUCUCCUGAAUUCAUUCCUUAACUUUUGGAUCACCUUAAAUAAUCAGCUUAGUAAUCCCCAUUUCUUUAGCUUUCUCUACUCCAUAGACUGCUGCCAAUAAUUCUGAUCUCACCUUAAAUAAUCAGCUUAGUAAUCUCCUUUUUAUAUUUAUGCUGGUGGGUCAUCCUAUUGUGCUCCUAUUCGAUCAAUACCAAACAAAAGUACAUCUUACUGCCAAGAUUUGGGCAACUUUGACAGUUUUCCUUUCUUUAGGGUUGAGUUUGAGGGAUUGGAGAAUUUGCAAAAGCCUGGUACCCCUGCUGUAUAUGUUUUCAAUCACCAGAGAUUUCUAGAUAUUUUAUUACCCUUCUGAUUCUUGGGAGAAGCUUCACGUUUAUCAGCAAGACUGGGAUGUUUGCCUUCCUGUUGUUGGUGGAUAAUGUUCCUUAUGGGUACUAUUCCUUUGAAGCAAAUGGAUAGAAGAAGUCAAUUGGAAUAUAAGAAGAGGGGUGGAGUGGAGGCCUGGGAUAUCCAAUUCUUCAUUGUGGGGAACACCCUCUAUUAGUUUCAUAUUACUUUUCUUUGCUUGAAGAUUUAUACAUUAAUUUUCUACUCUUAGUUAGUUAUCCAACCAAGGUGAAAUAAAUGGGUAGAAUGUGAGGAUGUGAAGAGGUAAGAGAUGGGAAAGAAAACCUUAUAAACAAUUCUAUUCAAUGUUCUAUUUAUAUACUUUGAUGUCAUCCGGCAAUUACAUGUGCAAGGAAUACCCCACCUUAAUGAGAGUACACGUAGAAAGUCUGUUUCUGGCAGACCUCCCCAUUUUUAUAUUAAUAAACAAGAAUAGUAAUCACUAAUUAAAGGGCAAAAAGUAUUAAGGAGAAUAAUCAAUUAUGUAACUGACUUAGAUGGCCUAAUCUUUCCCUUGGAAAUCAGGACAGCAACUAAUUACUUGAUGCUGGGUUUUUAUAGUUGCCUAAGUUAUAAGCAAAAACUUCCCUGUUAAAGUUGGAAUUUCAGAAAGAGAGUUUCUGAAAGUAAAACGGAAGAGAUAGAGAUCACUUGUUUAGAAAUAAAUGCUUGUAAUUUGCUUCAAUUAAUAUAACACAUGCAGGAUCUUUCUGUGAUUUUUGGUUUUAGCAUUAUUCGAGUAGUAUGGAGUGCAAAUAUUCCCAUUAGCAAAUCAUUUGAUCGACCCUCCUCCAAGUUGAAAUGUUGUGGUGGUUGAGGCAACAGACAGAGACACCCACCAACUCCAAAAAGAAGAAAUUUUUUGCUUUAACAACUGUUUCUGAACUUUCUUCAGUGAUAAGUCGGGCCACUUUAGGAUGUCUUUUCAUCUUUGGCAAAGAAAAGUUGGAUCUUUGUAAGAACCGCCCCUAGGCCAUGAAGUAUGCAAAUACCAUAUCUGACAUGGAAUAUAUUGAUCGAUGCUGAUACUCCUACUUAAAUUCUCAUUUGCUAGAUUUCGUUCUGAGAUGGAGACAAAUUUUUUAUUUCUUCAAUUAUU